UGUGUAAACUGGCGCAAAUGUUCAAGAAAUCGAAAAGAAAUUUUCGUCAAAGAGUCGCGACAAGUGAUUCUGACGCGGAAAAGAAUCACAUUGGAUUCUACCGGAGCCGAAAGAGCAAAAGAAACACAAAAUACCCAAAUCUUCCUUCGUGCUGACUGCUGAUUUUCGUCCACGAAGAAGAGCGUCCAAAGGUUCACCUGACCACAACUCUUUUCGGAGUGUCUGAAGUUCGUGUACGUGCUGGGAAGCCACUUACAAUGAAACUGGGCAUUACCGGUUCUCCAACUCCCAUUGUCAUCUGGGCUAAAGAAGGAAAACCCAUUCCAAGGGCUCGCACCUCAUUACUAUACUACACUAGAGCUCCCAAAAGCAGAUCAUGGUGACACUGGAAACUACCUUGUGACUGUUGAAAACGAACAUGGCAGAGAUUCUGCAGAUAUUCCGGUCUUAGUUAUUGACAAGCCUGGACCCCCGGACGGUCCUUUGGAGGUCAGUGAUGCGUUUGCGGACUCCUGCCAAUUGGCUUGGAAACCACCUCAGGACAAAGGAAACUAACCAAUAAUCGUUACACAGUAGAAAAAUUCCAGGAGGGCUUGUACUUCUGGUAAAAGGUGCCUGGCAUGCCGAUGUGCAAGUCCAGAAUAGUCACUGGACUGAAGACUGGAGUCAAGUUCAAGUUCAGGGUCAUGGCUGAGAACAUAUACGGAAUAGGAGAGCCCUUAGAGACAGAUUUCCCAGUGUUAGUCAAGAAUAGAUUUGAGUCCCCAAAGGUUCACCUGACCAACACAUCUCUUUCUUGAGCGUCUGAAGUUUGUGUAUGUGCUGGGGAGCCACUUACAAUGAAACUGGGCAUUACCGGUUCUCCUACUCCCACUGUCAUCUGGACCAAAAAAGGAAAACCCAUCCCAAGGGCGCACACCUCCAACACUAAUGACUGUACUACACUAGAGCUCCUAAAAGCACAUCAUGGGGACACUGGAAACUACCUUGUGAUUGUUGAAAACGAUCAUGGCAGAGAUUUUGCAGAUAUUCCGUUCAUCAUUAUUGACAAGUGUGGACCCCCCGAAGGUCCUCUGGAGGUCAGUGAUGUGUUUGCGGACUCCUGCUGAUUGGCAUGGAAACCACCUCAGGACAAAAGAAACUUACCAAUUAUCGGUUACACAGUAGAGAAAUGCCAGGAGUGCUCAGACUUCUGGGAAAGGUGCCUGGCAUACCGAUGUGCAAGUCCAGAAUAGUCACUGGACUGAAGACUGGAGUCAAGUUCAAGUUCAGGGUCAUGGCUGAGAACAUAUACGGAAUAGCAGAGCCCUUAGAGACAGACUGCCCAUUGUUAGUCAAGAAUCGAUUUGAGCCGCCUGCCAAGAAGACAGUAAUUUGGAAGAAGAUUCUGAAGAAGAUACACCAGUUGUUGAUACAGUUGCUCUGUCCACAGCUACAACCAACAAGUCCAAACCCACAACCAGCCAGUCCAAAGCCACAACCAGCCAGUCCAAAGUUUCAACCAAAGCAACAACCAGCUUUGUCGGAAAGAAAGCGCAGAAAAGAAAAAUGUGGUCUGUUGAAGAACAAGCUGCUGUUGAGCGACAACUGGGAAAAUAUCUUCACACUUCAAAGCUGCCAGAUAAACACGAGAUUGAGGAGAGCCGAAAAAAAGAACCUGUAUUGUUGAACAGACCUUGGCAACAAGUGAAAAGCUACAUUAAAAUAUGUAAAGUUUCAAUGCAGAGAAGAUUAAACAGUGCAAACUAAACAAGCUGUGUGUUUUGUGUCAAGCCAGCAGGGGUGAACUACUGGUUUAUUUCCUUGAAAAGCAUGCCUUAGUUACAAGGCUUAUUGUGUAUAAACAUUCAUCACUAUUUAUCUUUUGUUCGUAUUUUACAUUAACAUUCGACCUUGUACUCAUGUCCUUCGGAUUUUUUGUUGCGCAUAAUCAAAAAGGAUAAAUGCUAGGAAUGAAACUUUACAAACAUUAAUAUCCCAGCAUGAGAACUUAUUCCCCUGUGUAUUUUGGUCCUUUUUUCUACAUAAUUGGAGUUAUGAGACAACUGGAAUAUAGGGGAAUCAGUGUCCUUAGGACACGUGUUGAAUUGUUCUUUUUUAUCUUCAUUUUAUAUGCGUGAUGUGCUCACAUAAAGUUUUGUUUUAUUUUUGGGACUGCUUUUCAUGUGAGUCCAAUUUCUGUAUUAUCUACAUGUAGUGCUCCAUCAAGGCCUUAAUGGAAGGUUGCCCCGCCCUUCCUUUCCAAUGAUUUGUAACUUGAUUUGUAACAUUAUUGACAGUGUGUUAUGGCGCAUAUGUAGUAGCAGCUGUUUUUCUUAGUAUAAAUUACUUUUUUGGAUUUGUGUUGCAUAUUACUCAAAAGGAUUUACUGCUAGAGUAGUAUACAUAUAAAUGUAUUGAUCAGCAUCUGCACUUUUAUUAUACGCUUUUGUAACAACAGGCAUGUUCUUUGUUAAAUUUAUUUUGCAAAAGUACAACAAACCUUUAACCCACAAUGGUAUCUUUAAGCAGCUUUUAGCUCCAUAUUUUGAAGAAAUGGCUUUUCUUCUUGCCCCAUCUUCAGCCUUUGAACUACAUGUAGCUUAAAGUUAAAACUUUUUCUGUAAGCUAGUUUCAUGUGAUUUCAAUGUCUGUAUUAUCUACAUGCAGUGCUCCAGCUAGGCCUUAAUGGAAGGGUGUCCCGCCCUGCCCUUCCGAAGUCCCGCCCUGCCCUUCUGAGGC